rnacentral:rRNA from 1 species
AUUGAACGCUGGCGGCAGGCCUAACACAUGCAAGUCGAACGAGUGGCGGACGGGUGAGUAAUGUCUGGGAAACUGCCUGAUGGAGGGGGAUAACUACUGGAAACGGUAGCUAAUACCGCAUACAAUCGGAUGUGCCCAGAUGGGAUUAGCUAGUGGGUGGGGUAAAGGCUCACAAAGGCGACGAUCCCUAGCUGGUCUGAGAGGAUGCAGAGCCACACUGGGACUGAGCCACGGCCCAGACUCCUACGGGAGGCAGCAGUGGGGAAUAUUGCACAAUGGAGGCAAACCUGAUGCAGCCAUGCCGCGUGUAUGAAGAAGGCCUUCGGGUUGUAAAGUACUUUCGGCAGGGAGGCGUUACCGGCAGAGGAAGCACCGGCUAACUCCGUGACAGCAGGCGCGGUAAUUC